rnacentral:rRNA from 1 species
CCUACGGGUGGCAGCAGUGAGGAAUAUUGGUCAAUGGACGAGAGUCUGAACCAGCCAAGUAGCGUGAAGGAUGACUGCCCUAUGGGUUGUAAACUUCUUUUAUAUGGGAAUAAAAUGUUCCACGUGUGGGAUUUUGUAUGUACCAUAUGAAUAAGGAUCGGCUAACUCCGUGCCAGCAGCCGCGGUAAUACGGAGGAACCGAGCGUUACCCGGAUUUAUUGGGUUUAAAGGGAGCGUAGGUGGAUUGUUAAGUCAGUUGUGAAAGUUUGCGGCUCAACCGUAAAAUUGCAGUUGAAACUGGCAGUCUUGAGUACAGUAGAGGUGGGCGGAAUUCGUGGUGUAGCGGUGAAAUGCUUAGAUAUCACGAAGAACUCCGAUUGCGAAGGCAGUUCACUGGACUGCAACUGACACUGAGGCUCGAAAGUGUGGGUAUCAAACAGGAUUAGAUACCCGUGUAGUC